UCAGGCCUAACACAUGCAAGUCGAACGAGGUAGCAAUACCUAGUGGCGGACGGGUGAGGAAUACGUAGGGAUCUGCCCUUAAGUGGGGGAUAACCCGGGGAAACCCGGAUUAAUACCGCAUGAUCUCGCAAGAGCAAAGAGGGGGACCGCAAGGCCUCUCGCUUUUGGAGGAACCUACGUCGGAUUAGCUAGUUGGUGAGGUAACGGCUCACCAAGGCGACGAUCCGUAACUGGUCUGAGAGGAUGAUCAGUCACACCGGAACUGAGACACGGUCCGGACUCCUACGGGAGGCAGCAGUGGGGAAUAUUGGACAAUGGGCGAAAGCCUGAUCCAGCAAUACCGCGUGUGUGAAGAAGGCCUUCGGGUUGUAAAGCACUGUAAGUUGGGAAGAAAAAGCUUCACCUAAU
rnacentral:rRNA from 1 species